rnacentral:rRNA from 1 species
GUAUAAAUAGAAUACAGUGAAACUGCGAAUGGCUCAUUAAAACAGUUAUAGUUUAUUUGAUAAUUGAAGUCUACAUGGAUAACCGUGGUAAUUCUAGAGCUAAUACAUGCAUUAAGACCCGACGCAAGAAGGGUUGUAUUUAUUAGAUAUUAAGCCAAUAUUCCGCAAGGUCUAUUGUGGUGAAUCAUAGUAACUGAUCGGAUCCCGAAUUCGGGAUAAAUCAUUCAAGUUUCUGCCCUAUCAGCUUUCGAUGGUAGUGUAUUGGACUACCAUGGCAGUAACGGGUAACGGAGAAUUAGGGUUCGGUUCCGGAGAGGGAGCCUGAGAAACGGCUACCACAUCUAAGGAAGGCAGCAGGCGCGUAAAUUACCCAAUGCAGACUCUGCGAGGUAGUGACAAUACAUAACAACCUGGGGUCUCACGACUUACGGGAUUGCAAUGAGAACAAUUUAAAAACCUUAACGAGGAACAAGUGGAGGGCAAGUCUGGUGCCAGCAGCCGCGGUAAUUCCAGCUCCACUAGCGUAUAUUAAAGUUGUUGCAGUUAAAAAGCUCGUAGUUGAACUUCUGAUUGUUGCUUGAGUCGGUAUUUAUAUCGCUCUAGCGGCAGUCAUCCGUCUGCAAACUUUUACAUCCUUAACUGGUUUGUCUAAGGGAGCAGGCAUUUUACUUUGAAAAAAUUAGAGUGUUUAAGGCAGGCGCAAGCCUGAAUACAUUAGCAUGGAAUAAUGGAAUAGGACGCCUGUCCAUUUGAUUGGUUAUUGGACUCGCGUAAUGAUUAAUAGGGACAGUUGGGGGCAUUAGUAUUUAAUUGUCAGAGGUGAAAUUCUUGGAUUUAUUAAAGACUAACUUAUGCGAAAGCAUUUGCCAAGGAUGUUUUCAUUAAUCAAGAACGAAAGUUAGGGGAUCAAAGACGAUAAGAUACCGUCCUAGUCUUAACUAUAAACUAUACCGACUCGGUUUUGGUAGG